ensembl:snoRNA small nucleolar RNA SNORA84
GCCUGGUGGUUCCUAGCAUCAGCUCCUAAGUGCUGAACUGCAGGUUUUUAUUAACAGGCAUAUAGUAAUUCUGCAGUUUAAUGCAUGGAGGCUGUCCCAUAGCAGACUUCCAUAGCCCGGUUGCAGAGACAUUU